AGAGUUUGAUCCUGGCUCAGGAUGAACGUUAGUAGUAUGCCUAACACAUGCAAGUCGAACGGAAUUGUAGCAAUACAAUUCAGUGGCGAACGGGUGAGUAAUGCUUAUCUUACCUACCGUUUAGUGGGGGAUAAAAUACCGCAUGUUCUGGUUUCGACCAGCAAAGGACUUCGGUCCGCUAAAUGAUGGGGAUAAGUCGCAUCAGCCGAUGAACAGUAGGGUAAUGGCCUACUGAGGCCAUGACGCGUAGCCGGCCUGAGAGGGUGAUCGGCCACAAGGGAACUGAGACAAGGUUCCUACUCCUAUAUGGGGGGCAGCAGUGAGGAAUAUACCGCAAUGGGCGAAAGCCUGACGGAGCGAUACUACGUGAAGGAUGAAGGUCUACGGAUUGUAAACUUCUUUACUCAGAUGUACUCCUUAAAGCUUGCAUCAGGGCAAAAAGUCACGACUAACUAUGUGCCAGCAGUCGCGGUAAGACAUAGGUGGCAAACGUUAUCCGGAUUUAUUGGGCGUAAAGGGUGCGUAGAUGGUAGAAUAAGUUAUUAGCCGAAGGCAGGCUCAACUUGGCGGAAGUUAAUAAUACUGUUUUACUAGAGAAUGGAAGAGGUUAAUGGAAUUCUAUGUGUAGAGGUGAAAUUCGUUGAUCCAUAGAGGAACACCAAAAAGGCGAAGGCAAUUAACUAUUCCAUUUCUGACAUUGAGGCACGAAAGCGUGGGGAGCAAAACGGAUUAGAUACCCGUGUAGUCCACGCCCUAAACGAUGAGUAUUAGGCAUUGGGUGUUAAUUCAGUGUCGCAGCUAACGCUUUAAAUACUCCGCCUGGGUAGUACGGUCGCAAGGCUGAAACUCAAAGGAAUUGACGGGGACCCGCACAAGCGGUGGAGCAUGUGGUUUAAUUCGAUACAACGCGCAGAACCUUACCAAGGCUUGACAUGGAGGGCAAUGUUGAAGAAACUCAACGGAGGUUAUCCCGACACAGGUGGUGCAUGGUCGUCGUCAGUUCGUGCCGUGAGGCGUAUGGUUAAGUCCUAUAACGAACGCAGCCCUCGUAUUUAGUUGCUACCAUUUAGUUGAGAACUCUAAAUAGACUGCCAAGGUAACCUGGAGGAAGGAGAGGAUGACGUCUGAUCCUCAUGCCCCUUAUGCCUUGGGCUACACACGUGCUACAAUGGUUAGGACAAAGAGUCGCUAGCCUGCGAAGGGAAGCUAAUCUCAAAAAACUAACCUUAGUUCGGAUUGAAGUCUGCAACUCGACUUCAUGAAGUAGGAAUCGCUAGUAAUCGUGAAUCAGCAACGUCACGGUGAAUACGUUCUCGGGUCUUGUACACACCGCCCGUCAAAUCACGAAAGUCGGUAGUGCCUAAAAGCAGUUCCCGUAAGGGAAACUUCCGCAAGGAAGAGAAGACUGUCUAAGGUAAGAUUGGCGAUUGGGGUUAAGUCGUAACAAGGUAACCG
rnacentral:rRNA from 1 species